rnacentral:rRNA from 1 species
GAUGAACGCUGGCGGCGUGCCUAAUACAUGCGAGUCGAGCGAACGGACGAGAAGCUUGCUUCUCUGAUGUUAGCGGCGGACGGGUGAGUAACACGUGGAUAACCUACCUAUGAGACUGGGAUAACUUCGGGAAACCGGAGCUAAUACCGGAUAAUAUUUUGAACCGCAUGGUUCAAAAGUGAAAGACGGUCUUGCUGUCACUUAUAGAUGGAUCCGCGCUGCAUUAGCUAGUUGGUAAGGUAACGGCUUACCAAGGCAACGAUGCAUAGCCGACCUGAGAGGGUGAUCGGCCACACUGGAACUGAGACACGGUCCAGACUCCUACGGGAGGCAGCAGUAGGGAAUCUUCCGCAAUGGGCGAAAGCCUGACGGAGCAACGCCGCGUGAGUGAUGAAGGUCUUCGGAUCGUAAAACUCUGUUAUUAGGGAAGAACAUAUGUGUAAGUAACUGUGCACAUCUUGACGGUACCUAAUCAGAAAGCCACGGCUAACUACGUG